rnacentral:rRNA from 1 species
AGUGAACGCUGGCGGUAGGCCUAACACAUGCAAGUCGAACGGCAGCACAGUAAGAGCUUGCUCUUACGGGUGGCGAGUGGCGGACGGGUGAGGAAUACAUCGGAAUCUACUUUUUCGGGGGGGAUAACGGAGGGAAACUUACGCUAAUACCGCAUACGACCUACGGGUGAAAGCAGGGGAGCUUCGGACCUUGCGCGAUUGAAUGAGCCGAUGUCGGAUUAGCUAGUUGGGGGGGUAAAGGCCCACCAAGGCGACGAUCCGUAGCUGGUCUGAGAGGAUGAUCAGCCACACUGGAACUGAGACACGGUCCAGACUCCUACGGGAGGCAGCAGUGGGGAAUAUUGGACAAUGGGCGAAAGCCUGAUCCAGCCAUACCGCGUGGGUGAAGAAGGCCUUCGGGUUGUAAAGCUCUUUUGUUGGGAAAGAAAAGCAGCAGGUUAAUACCCCGCUGUUCUGACGGUACCCAAAGAAUAAGCACCGGCUAACUUCGUG